UAGCGGGCGGGAACUAGGCCACAAUAAACUCCAGCUGCAGCUAAAAACGUCAGCAGAGCAACAACACUAAACACAUGGCAGGUGUAGGACCCAAAAACCAAUUAAAAUCCCAGACACUGGUUGUAAAAUGGCACUUAUGAUCUCAAAUGAGCAGAUCAAGAACACGAGCCACCCACAAAGCCGACAUGUAGCAGCAGGAACAUGGACACACACACCUUAGCAGUGUUCUCUUACCUCCAUGUGAUUGAUGGGCGGGGGAGACGCCCAUCAAUCAGAGGUGCUUUUCUGUCUGCAUCUGGUGCAGAGUGGGAAAGGUGUACUCAACAGAGUAGCAUCAGAGGACACAGGACAGGAGCUUCUGAAAACAAUGGCGGACAACCAGCAUCAUGAAGACCAAGUAGCACGACAGACAGGGAACAUCUGCAAACCAGCCAACCAAGGCAUGACGAUCAGCCUAAAGUGAAAAACCAGCCAAUGAGAAAUUGACCCAGAGGAGCAGCCAAGACGACUGUGGUAACUCCUGAGGAGCUGCAGAGAUCCACAGCUCAGGUCCCUCUGAUGGCUCGCUGGUCGUGGCGUCUUCUGUCUGCGCAGAGGUGGUCUCUGAGCCUGUGUUGCUGUCGCUGGUUCCCUCCUCCAUGGCUCCCUCAGGGACGCUCUCCUUGUCCUCUGACGCUCCCU